GGGAUAACGUUUGGAAACGAACGCUAAUACCGCAUGAUAUUAUUGGGCGGCAUUGCCUGAUAAUCAAAGGAGCAAUCCGCUGAAAGAUGGGCUCGCGUCCGACUAGGUAGUUGGCGGGGUAACGGCCCACCAAGCCGACGAUCGGUAGCCGGACUGAGAGGUUGAACGGCCACAUUGGGACUGAGACACGGCCCAGACUCCUACGGGAGGCAGCAGUGAGGGAUAUUGGUCAAUGGGGGAAACCCUGAACCAGCAACGCCGCGUGAGGGAAGACGGUUUUCGGAUUGUAAACCUCUGUCCUCUGUGAAGAUGAUGACGGUAGCAGAGGAGGAAGCUCCGGCUAACUACGUGCCAGCAGCCGCGGUAAUACGUAGGGAGCAAGCGUUGUCCGGAUUUACUGGGUGUAAAGGGUGCGUAGGCGGCUUUGCAAGUCAGAAGUGAAAUCUAUGGGCUUAACCCAUAAACUGCUUUUGAAACUGCAGGGCUUGAGUGAAGUAGAGGUAGGCGGAAUUCCCGGUGUAGCGGUGAAAUGCGUAGAGAUCGGGAGGAACACCAGUGGCGAAGGCGGCCUACUGGGCUUUAACUGACGCUGAGGCACGAAAGCGUGGGUAGCAAACAGGAUUAGAUACCCUGGUAGUCCACGCUGUAAACGAUGAUUAAUAGGUGUGGGUGGACUGACCCCAUCCGUGCCGGAG
rnacentral:rRNA from 1 species